rnacentral:lncRNA from 1 species
GUCUGCUGGAGGAAAGGGCAUCUCCUGCUCUUUUGAGGGCUGUUAAAUAUAACAUCCGAAUGGAUAAUGAUAUCAUGGGAUCCUCAACACCAUCGUGACCUAUUAGAGUCAGGUCAUGUGAGUCCAGGUGAUAAAUGAGGUCAUAAUGGCAGAGAUUAGUACAGACCUCAAGGACUAAAAGAUUCAGAGGUGUCAAUCCUCUUCAUAUUUCCAUUUAAUUCAUGGGUCUGACCCCCACAAAUACAGAUAUUACCACAAUUGAUUCCAUCUCUUCUGCUGGAAGGUGGAAAACUUCAAAGGUGUAAGCAAUCAUGAGCCUUUUACAAAAGAGAAAGAAUGAGGGUCCCUAUGGCCUGCAGAGCCUUUUCUGGGAACUUCUAGGCUGUUCCAUGUUCCAUGUUCUAGACUGUUCUAGGCUGUGCCAUGGAAAUAUAACACGAGCCACCAAUAUGAGCCACCUGUGUAAUUUAAAAGUUUCUACUAACUACAAUCAAAAGAGCAAAAAGAAACAGCACAUCUCAGUUCCGACUAGUCACAUGGCAAGUGCUGAGUAGCCACACAGUGGGCAGUGGCUGUGGACAGUGUAUUCUAGACCAUCUCCUGCAACCAGAAGGGGAGCCCUGGUGCUUUUUUCAAAACCUGGGAGCAAGACUUGUCGCCUGCUGAUGUCAUUUAGUCACUUGUUCCCUGGGGCUUAAUUCUAAUAUUCCCUCUGAGCACAAGUCCCUGUCCAGGUAAUCCCACUAGACUUUACACAGAAAUAAACGCCCUCCCUUCAUGUUUCACAUGAAAGCCCUGGGGGAUCCUGAAACAAAAGAGUGGAAUUUGCAUGUGUUGUUCAUUCUUCCUCAAUUAUAUAUGCAGAUAUCUUAAACAAACAAAAAAAACACUACCUU